UCCCUGGUGGCUCAGACGGUAAAGCGUCUGCCUACAAUGCGGGAGACCCGGGUUUGAUUCCUGGGUCGGGAA
rnacentral:tRNA from 1 species